CACUGGCAGCAAUGACUCAUUGCCAUGAUGUUCAUCUUCUCAUUGCAAGAGAAGAUGUGUGGACAGAGGGACACACUGUGGGACACACUGGAACGCCACAGCCUCCACAAAGAGGAGAAAGACCUCAAGGUUUUAUAAAGGAGCCAGACAAGAAGGCCUGCCAUAGUCUUCGUGUCUUUGCAGCUUGGGAGACUGAACCUUGGAAAGGCUCAUCAGUUUGGGUCCCAAGAGGGACCUUCUCAGCCGCGUGACACUGCAGAUAUCCAGCUGAUGUUUCUAAAUAGAACAUUGAACUCUUCAAGAACCUGUUAUGGGCUACUUCCCUAUAGUCAUCUCUACCCAAGAAGAAAAUUCAGAAAUGCCAAAUCAGGUUUCUGCCCUAUAACUAUAGAAGCACAUGACCUACCUCCCUAUCUGCAACACAGGUAGUUCAAAAUCUCAGGGUUUGGGGCUAGAUAGAUGGCUGUUAGUAAGGUACGUGGUAUGCCAUCGUGAAAAUCUGAUCCUCAAAUUCUUUAGAUCCUCAAUACCUGUACUGGCUGGUUUCAUGUCAGCUUGACACAAGUAAGAGUCAUCAAAAAAGAGUGAGCCUCAACUGAGAAAAUGCCUCCAUAAGAUCUGACUUUAAGGCAUUUUUCUUACUUAGUCAUCAAUGGAGAGAGCCCAGCCCAUUGUGGGUUGGGGCCAUCCCUGAGCUGGUGGUUCUGGGUUCUCUAUGAAAGCAGGCUGAGCAAACCAUGAUGAGCAAGCCAGUAAGCAGCACUCCUCCAUAGCCUCGGCAUCAGCUCCUGUCUUCAGGUUCCUGCCCUGUUUGAGUUCCUGCCUUGGCUUCCUUCAACAAUGAACUACAAUGUAGAAGUAUACGCCCAGUAAACCUUUUCCUCCCACACUGAUUUGCUCAUGGUGUUUCAUCACAGCAAUAGUAACCCUAAGACAGUACCCAUGUAAAAAUCAUUUUACCCAUGUUAAAAAAAAAAAAAAAAAAAAAAAAAACAGACGCAAAACUGUAAUACUGACACUGGAAAAGAAAA